CGGUGCGUAGCGCAGCUGGCAGCGCGCCUGCUUUGGGGGUAGGGUACCGGGUGUUCGAGUCCCCUUGCUCCAACCA
rnacentral:tRNA from 1 species